rnacentral:rRNA from 1 species
UUCCGGUUGAUCCCGCCGGACCUGACUGCUAUCGGAUUGAUACUAAGCCAUGCGAGUCUUUGUAGUAAUACAAGGCAUACGGCUCAGUAACACGUAGUCAACCUACCCUAUGGACGAGAAUAAUCUCGGGAAACUGAGCAUAAUUCUUGAUAGAUCAUAAUGCCUGGAAUGGUUUAUGGUUAAAAUGAUUCGUCGCCAUAGGAUGGGACUGCGGCCUAUCAGCUUGUUGGUGAGGUAAUGGCCCACCAAGGCGAUUACAGGUACGGGCUCUGAGAGGAGAAGCCCGGAGAUGGGUACUGAGACACGGACCCAGGCCCUAUGGGGCGCAGCAGGCGAGAAAACUUUGCAAUGUGCGAAAGCACGACAAGGUUAAUCCGAGUGAUUUCUGCUAAAGAAAUCUUUUACCAGUCGUAAAACCGCUGGUGAAUAAGGGGUGGGCAAGUUCUGGUGUCAGCCGCCGCGGUAAAACCAGCACCUCAAGUGGUCAGGAUGAUUAUUGGGCCUAAAGCAUCCGUAGCCGGCUUUGUAAGUUUUCGGUUAAAUCCAUGUGCUCAACACAUGGGCUGCCGAAAAUACUGCAUAGCUAGGGAGUGGAAGAGGUAGACGGUACUCAGUAGGUAGGGGUAAAAUCCUUUGAUCUAUUGAUGACCACCUGUGGCGAAGGCGGUCUACCAGAACACGUUCGACGGUGAGGGAUGAAAGCUGGGGGAGCAAACCGGAUUAGAUACCCGGGUAGUCCCAGCUGUAAACGAUGCAGACUCGAUGAUGCAUUGGCAUAAUAGCCAUUGCAGUGUCGCAGGGAAGCCGUUAAGUCUGCCGCCUGGGAAGUACGUACGCAAGUAUGAAACUUAAAGGAAUUGGCGGGGGAGCACCACAAGGGGUGAAGCCUGCGGUUCAAUUGGAUUCAACGCCGGG